UUGAUUUCCCAUGUGGGUCUAUUUUCUCCAUUUUUGGCCCGUUUCUCGCUCUUUUUAUCUCUCCUAUGCUCACCUAAGAAUAAAACAUGAAAUUAAAGGAUUAGGAGCAUCGAAUUCACCAAAUCUAAGGAGAAACCAUCCAUAAAUGUGCUAAGCAUGGAAUAAAAAUAUGUAUAAAUCACGGUUUAUCAGAGAUUUUCUAGGAGUUUGAGAUUAGGAAGAGUUGUAGCCGAAAUAGGUAGCUUGUUGGUGCAAAAUUCGGCUAAGGGGUUGGGAUGGGCAUUUUCUGAAAAUGGUGUUUGAGUAGGGGCUGAAUUUCAUCUAGGCAUUUUAAGGUUUUUGAGUUUUUGGCUCCUUUUCUCUCUAGUGCCUAUUUCUGUGGUAAUCACUUUUGUUUCUUUGGGAUUUGUUUAGUACAAGUCUUUUGUGCUGAAUUGUAAGUGUUAAUAUACCGAAAGUCUUGUAUCGUUUCUUCUUAAACUUUUUCUUUGUUCUUAGUUUCAAAAGCUGACGAAUCACUCAUUACCCGAAUAUCGGUUGGCUAUUCCUUUCUUUUCUAGCCGAACUUUUUAUUCUCUUAUUCUCAGCAUUUCUUCUCUUGUUUCUAAAGUUUGAUUAAGCCGAACUCAACUUCUUUUUUUUCCCCUUUCAUUGUUCUUUUCUUUUCAAGAUAGCCGAAUGCUCUUCGUUCCUAACCAUUUCUUCAUCUCUUCGAUUUUUGGAUAAGUGGUUACUCAAACCGAAUCUUGGUUGGCUUCGUUCUUCAUGCUCGAUUUUUUGUAUCUCUUGGGCCGAAGGGAAAUUUUCUCUUUGUUUGCUGUAAGGAUAAGUUCUUCUAACACUUUCUUUUUCAUUCGAAUGUUGCUAGGGACACGUUUUCCUUAACCAAGGUGUAGGCCGAUUACUUUUCCCCUAUAAGGGAUCUUUCGAUUCGUGGUAAGUGUUUUAAGCAUAGUUUAUAUAUUCUUUUGGGAUUGUAGAUUCUUAUGUGUCGGCUAACAGUUUUUGUGAAGGUAAUAUCAUUGAAAAGAAUACGGGGUUUUGGGGGCUAGAGGUUGUUGCGGUUUCUGAUUGGUAAGUAGCGUUAGUUUGAUUAAAACGUUUCAAUAUUAUGGUGAUGGAUUAACGAGGGUUUGAGACUAUUGAUGGGUUGUUGUUUCAUAGGUGUUUAAUUUGAGAAGCGUUUCAACUACAAUCUAUAGCAGGUGUGUAACUGUACACCGUAAAUCGUUACUGUUAGAAAAUCAGAAUAGGUGUGUAUUUACACCCCUAUUUUACUACGAAUCUGUAAAAGCCGAAUAGCCGAAACUUCUACAUUUGAAGCUCACGAGCACACAAGUGCUCGUGGGCAAAUCAAGCUCACAAAUCAUGGGCGACAGACAGUAGAGGCCGCCACGAGCGUUCUCGUUAGUUUGGGCCGUUAUGGACCUCGUUGGGCAGAGAUGAGCUGUGUAGGCUCGUGGGCCCCACACGGAUGGAAUUUACGGUAAGUGUCAGAUAAUGGAGUAGGCUAUGGUGAUCGCAUAGUCGCUACUGGAUUUGGGCUAAAUGGGCCACACGAGCGUGUGGGCCCACUUGGGCCGACUAAUGAGCCUUAGGCCCAUUUACACUAUUUUGGCCAAAUGGGCUAUCUGAGUCAUUCGAGACGACUGUAGACCUUUUAAAAGGUCUUUAUCUAUACUAAGACCCUAAAAUAGGUUAAAUGGCAAAAAUACCCCUAAAGGGUAAAAUUAUUAUUUCACCCUUAAUCGAUGAAAUGACUAUUAUACCCCUAGUGGUAGGUUAAUUGAUGUGUGCAUGACAAUUAUAUGACUGGUUUGAGUAUGACAUACUACAUUCACGUAAUAUUUAUGACACGACAUACUGUAUGGGGUUGGGUUUAUGAUUUAGAGGAAGUACUGUAUUAGUGGCUUUGCCACGUAAUUACUGCCCUGGUGGCUUUGCCACGUUUACUGUUAUUAGCAGCUUUGCUGCGUUACUGUUAGUAGCUUCGCUGCGAUGUUGGUGUGUUGGUCGGGUGGGUUGAUUUAAUCCCCACAUGGUGUGUUGGUUGGUACGGGUGGUGUUGGUUGGAUUGGGGUGGGUUACAUGACUGCACUGUACUGAUACUGAAAUGGGCUUAGUCCCACACUGUUACAGUAUAGGGCUAAGGCUUAGACUGUACUGAUACUGAAUAGGGCCCAAGCCUAGACUGUUACUGCGUGCACUAUUUACUGUUUGAUCGAUAGGGGAUUACACACUGAGUUUUCGUAAACUUACCUUUUUUCUUUUCAACUAUGCAGGUAAUCUCUAGCCUUAUGCGAUUUGGUGCUGCGAGAGACUCGGAGGUGGCCACACGAUUGCUGAUGUUCUACAUAUAACUUUAUUUCUUUAAGUUUCAUUUUAGGGUUUUGUUUAUGUAAUAAGGCCAAUGGUGGUUUUAAGUUUUAAUUGGGCUUUUGAAUUUCUAUUCUAAACUGCUAGUCUAGGGAAAACGGGUUUUCAAAUCGUCACUGUUUUCUAAUGAACAUGAGCUUUCAACAACAAAGUUUUCAAGAUGCUUCCACGAUUUAGAUUGUAUAAUAUACCAAAGUCUAAGUAAAUUGGUAAAGGUUUUGACAAGAACCAUUUUUAAAUGACAUAAAAAGAUUUAUACUCAAGAACGGGUUUUUACUUAAGAGGUUUACUUACAGAAAACACUUUUAUGUGACAUGCCAAAUUCGGCCAUAACGUCUAGGCCGGGUUUGGGGUGUUUUCGGUGCAGCCAUUGAAAGCCCUUUAAGAAGCGAAGAAGAAGACGAUGCCGCAGUCACCACUAGAGGUUUACCAAACCACCGAUCAAACCAGUAAUAGCAACGCUGGGAAAGGUGGCCAAGAUGCCCAUAGAUCUGACAUUAAGAUCAGCCUCGAUUUCUCCGACCGUGACCACCGUAAAACCCCUGACCACUAUGUGAGAAAGAACUAAGCGAGCAAGAGUUAGGCAUGAACAAAAGAGUUGUCAGCGAGGGAGAGCCAGACAUUGAUAAAGGAGUCGAUGGAGGGGGAUGAACCAUAUUGGCCUGAAGAGUAGUUUUCAAAACAAACUUCUUUUGUUCGUAUUUACAUUCCAACAACACAUCAACAAGUCGAUCCAUCUAGAUAGGUUCUGGCGAAAAUGACGCAAGAGUAAGAACCGAUUCAAAAUUAGCGGAAAGACCCACAAGCACUAUUUCAACUUGUUCAACACUCAAAACAAAAGUGUCCAAACGUACCAAAAUAGAUCACACACACUCUUUAUUUUUGCUAGAAAUUCUUUAACAGACAUAUGACCUUUCUUCAACGAAUGUAGGUCAUGCUUUAAUCUGGAAAUCUUCGCACUGGAGGCAGCGACAAAUAGGUGAGUGGCUUUGCUCCAUACUUCCUGAGCGGUAUUAGCACCUGUAAAAUAGGACAAAAUAUUGCCACUGAUUGUGGAUAAUAGCCAAAAGGCAAGAAGUUUAUCUUGCUGAUGGAAAGACAAAAUCCAAUUUAGUAACUAACAUCCCUUCUUGAUCCGGCAUAAAUCGAUACGGAGUCAGAAGAGUGCUAUUGACGUAGUCAAUAAGUCUAUAACAAUCAAUAAUCAACCUUAACUGAUGUUUCCAUUGAACAAACGUGUCUUCUCUAAGUUUUAUUAUUUCAUGGCGAGGGAACGACUGAACAACACGAUAGUGUCUAUCGCCAUCAGGAAAAUAAGAUGAGGAAGAGCUGUGGACAGGAGCAGAAGUCCUCAUGGACACUACAUUUGCAGAUACUUUGGGUGGAGUGGCAGCCAUGGAGCACAGUGAAAAUUAGCUCAACUGUUGGCGACUGAUACCAUGAAAGAAUCUCAUAACAAUAAGAAAUGAACACACUAAUUUCUUAUGAUUAACCUUGAGAUAAUUGCUUGAUUGAUUGAGAACUUGAGAGGAAAAUUUAUACACAUAAAAGUAAAAGUAAACUGUUACUAACCAACCUAGCUAAUUAACGGAAUAUGUUACAACAUACUCUAAUACCAAAUGAGCAACUGUUAGCAUAGGUAGGUAGGCAUUGAAAUAUGUCAUGUGUGGUCUUCCUUGUGUCUUAGAUUGUCUUGUUCUGACAUUACAAUCUCAUGCGAUACUAACUAAUAAGCGAACCCGCAUGUCAUAUGGGUAGUUAGUCCAAGAUUUUCAAGGAGGGUUUUGAGGGGUUCGCAUGAGUUGGAGUUUAACAAAAUUCUUUUUUGCUUCGUUUUCUAGAGGAAUUAGACUGUGAGAUGCUGGUGAUGGAAAAGGUUCUUGACACCACCACAAGCCAAAAAAUUGCCCAAACCUUGGCAAUUCCAUGGAAGGAAUGCUAGUCAAGAGAGAAGGAAAACCGAAAGCCAAGGCAAAACAACCAAGACGGAGGAAACAGUUAAGUCGGUCCAGCAAGUAAAUCCAUAAACUAUAUAUCAUAGAGCAGUUCAAGCAAGAAAUCUCAUGUAAAGAAAAUGAGCAGCAGAACCCAAUAUGCAUUUGAUAUUUGUUUAAGAAAACCAUCCGUCAUAAAGCUCAAAUGCAAAAAUCAGCAUAUAAACGAGCAUUAAAGGAAAACAAAGCAACUCAGGGAGCUUAGUGAAAGGGGAACCAUUCGGGCAAAGCAUUAUGUGCUGAGUGCGAGCUGGUAGAAAACCAUAAAGCACGUGCGAUAAAGCAGGGGAUCGACCAGAGAACCAAGUCUCAACCGUAGACAGACCAAAGAUAAAACCAUCAGUAGGAAGUCGAGAUCCAGAGAAGGAGCCGGGUGGACUGAUUGAAGUGUGAAGAAGUUCUUUCAAGCCUAUUGUCCAACACUUGGUGUGCACGCAGAAAACAGAAGAGAAAACCCCAAAUUGGAAGACCAUGACAGAAGAGAAAACAGAUUUAAUGAAGGACCGUAGCAGACAAUCACGAGAGCGCUAUGUCCCCCCCCCCCUAUUUCUGUUCGUCAAAACAGUAGAAGAAAAUCCUAAGAUGAGAGCUCGCACAAGGAACCCUCGCGAGAGAACGCUAUGUCUCUUUUUCUGCAUUUUGUUCUCUAAAACAGUAAAAACAAAUAAUACUGUAUUUUACUUCUCUGUCGUUACUUUAAAUAAGUGGUCUUUUUCAGGAAAUAUAACACAGUCG
rnacentral:lncRNA from 1 species